UACAGGGGGUGCAAGCGUUGCUCGGAAUUACUGGGCGUAAAGCGAGCGCAGGCGGCCGAUUAAGUCAGAGGUGAAAGCCCGGGGCUCAACCCCGGAAAUGCCUUUGAAACUGGUAGGCUUGAAUGCAGGAGAGGGUCGCGGAAUUCUUGGUGUAGAGGUGAAAUUCGUAGAUAUCAGGAAGAACACCAGUGGCGAAGGCGGCUACCUGGACCAGCACUGACACUGAGGCACGAAAGCGUGGGGAGCAAACAGG
rnacentral:rRNA from 1 species